rnacentral:tRNA from 1 species
CAAAAAGUAGCUUACGCUAAAGCACUCGACUUACAAUCGAACGAUAUUAAACAAUAAUCUUUUUGA